AGGGCUCUAAACACAAGAUGGGUGUUCAGAAAAAAGCUUGGAGUUCACAGCAUCUAAACAAGGAGGAGUGUUAAAGAUCAUGUUAUUUGUUUAGAUUGUUGUCAGUUAGUAUCUAAUUAAAUCUCUGUUAGGAGUUAGAUUUAGUUUUGAUUUGAUUAGAUUUUGUUUUGAUUUGAUUUAUUUAUUGGUUUGUUACCAGAUUUUCUGCAG